CAGACAAACAAAAUCAUUUGCAUUUAUAUAGGGCAACCAAUCGUCUAAAAAUUAAUUUCAUAUAAGAUAGAGAAUGACAACAUUCUGUAUACUGUAUCCAUAAUAUCAGUACUAAGGACUUAAUCAUUUUGAGUCAUUUUGACCCAGAAACACAUUGAGAUUUAUACACUUAAUUUUUUUAUGUUUUUGCUUCCUAAUGAUGUGAUUAUGUUUCUACUCCAAACAGCUUCUAAGAUAUAAUCAUUUAAAUGCUGGCUGAGUGUAGAGCGGAGGAGGGCGGGGCCGGGCUGGAAUGACGCACGCCCGGUCCCCAAUCAGCCUGAUGGGGCGUGCGAGGGAUAAAGGUGGCCGGGGACGACAGUUUGAGAGAGAGAAUUACAGGCAGCUGCCCUGUGUGUGGUUAUGUUUGUGUGUUUUUGGUUAAGUUGAUCAUUAAACUAUUAUUUAUAUUCUCAAGCCGGUUCUCACUGCCUCCUUUCCCUCUAACCCCCUUACACUGAGAUUUUCCUUUAUUCUUUAGUACAUGCAGGACGCACACACUGACUGGGGCUUCCUAACGUUAACUAUUCUGAUUAAUAAAAUAUGUUUAAUGUUGUUGAAUUUAAGCAGUUAACUUAUGUUUAAUACACACAAACAAAGAUGCCAUUGAUCAGUAAAUAAUGAUGGAGAAAAACCUUCUUAACAGCUUCUUUCUUAAUAGCUUUUUUCUUAAUAAAUCAGGUUUUAUACAGGGAUGCAAACUCAUGAGAGGUGAAAAAGGUGAGGAAGUCAUAGCAGAUAUUACAGUUGAUUUGUUUGUUCAUUUUAAAGAUUUUUUUUAAGUGUUUAAAGUACCUACACUUAAAGGUUCUUUACUGACCUUAAUAUUUCUAUUUAGAACCAUAUCUUCCUGAAGAACUCUUUUGUGCUCAAAUGGUUCUUUGCGUAGGGCAUUAGGGGUUCUAUAUUCCCGCCUUUUUGGUUUUUUGAAUGUAACUGUCAAUAAAUUAUUUCAAAGCCACCUCGUCAUUGAUUCACUUGCAGCACUGAAGUCCUGGCAGCUCAACUGACCAAUUUCACAGACUGUCAACACUCUCCACAGAGAGCUUUUUUUAAAAAUAUUUAUCCAUUAGUAGUUUUAGCAGGAAAGUUAUCAGUGAUAACCAAUCCCAUUAGCACAGUUAAAUGGGAGUGAGCAUUUGCUUAUUUUUCUUUCGCUUCACUCUAUGUUUUUGAAAGUGAAACCGUAGUGAAUUAAAGUUUACAGUUUAUGGUAAAUGAGCUGUUUGGGAGCAAGAGGUUGGCCAAAUCUGAAGUCAUGAUUUUUAACACUUUUGUAACCGCUAUGGCAGUAACUGUUCAUGUUGGGGAGAUCACAUUUUCUCAGCUCAUUCACAUCAUAAGACAAAUAUACAGUAAACUGUGUGGCGAAACUUUCCCCAAGCUGUUACUAUUUUAUGCAUUAACAUGACUAAUUGAGCAAAUUUAUUUUUCUUGUUGCAACAUUAACCUCUACACAUUCAAUAAUUAUAAAUUAUUUUACUCAAAGCUUCUUAACCUUUAGAUUUAGAAAUGUAGCCACAAUGCCCAAAUAAAACCUGCAUCCAGUUAUUUUUUGCAAAUAUAUUUAAUAAUCCUAAUGAGAAUUCAAGAAGAUAGAACCUAGAGCUCAUGACAUUUGUUUUUCUCUCCCUGCAGGACAUGAGACUGAUGGACCAACUUUAUUGCUUAUAACCUCUAAAUAAUAAAUCACAGAACGAAUGAAACGAUGCCUGUUAUCAGACAACAGACGGUUUUGUCACUGCUUGAUAAAGGCAGCACAGAACAUGGAUCGCUACCAGAACAUACAACUGUGACUAACUCAAGAGACAGAUGCUGUUGGAGCCCAUAACUUCUUUACCUACAGAGAGGGGUUGCCACUCAAUUACACAGUGAUGGACGGUGAAGACAUCAUACAGAGGAUUGUGCAGAUAUUUUAGUGAAAUUUAGCCUUCAUUGCAUCUAUUUUGUGUUUCGAUGGGACUUUGCUCUUCCUUGAACAUUUGGUUGUCUCUAUAAAAUAUAAAAGAAUGUACACGUUUCU